GGGGAAAAAUUAAUAAGAUAAAAUAAAAAAAAAAAUUAAAAAUAUUAUAAUGGGGGUUAAAGUAUUUUUAAGAAAAAAUUUUAUUAUUUAUAGGGGAAUAGUAUUGUGAAAGAAUUUUGAAAAAUUUUGAAAAAGAAUUAUUUUUAAAAGUAAAUUUAAUUUAUUGUAUCUUGUGUAUCAGAGUUUAUUAAAUAUUAUAUUUAUGAAAAUAUAUCUCGAAUUUAAAAGAGAUAAUUAAUUAAUAAAGUUAAUGUUAUAUAAUUAUUUUAAAUAAUUAAUUUGAAAUGAAAUGUUAAUCGUUUUUAAAUAUAUCUAGUUUUUUUAGAAAAAAAUUCAAUUUUAAAUUAUUUUUUUUUUUAAUUAAAUUUUUAAUAAAAAAAAAUAAAUAAUUAAAUAUUUUAGGGGAUAAGCUUUAAAUUAAAUUUUUAUAUAUAAAUUAAAUUUAUAAUAAGAUUUUUAGAAUUUAUAUUUUUUAUAAAUUAUAAUUUUUUAUAAAUAAUUUUAUUAAUAUUAAAAUUUAAUUAAUUAUUUUAAAUUUUUAUAAAAAAAUAUUUUUUAAUUAAAAUAAAUUAGGAAUAAUGAUAGAAUUAGUAUAUUUUUUAUAAAAAUUUAAAAUGAAUUUUAAUUAAGAAAAAGGAAUUCGGCAAAAAUUUAUAUUCACUUGUUUAUCAAAAACAUGUCUUUUUGAAAAUAAUAAAAAGUCUAAUCUGCCCACUGAAUUUAUUUAAAGGGCUGCUGUAUAUUGACUGUACAAAGGUAGCAUAAUCAAUAGUCUUUUAAUUGAAGACUUGUAUGAAUGAUUUGAUGAAAUAUGAACUGUCUCUUUUUUAAAAAUAAAAUUUAAUUUUUUAGUUAAAAAGCUAAAAUAAUUAUAAAAGACGAGAAGACCCUAUAGAGUUUUAUAGUUAUUUAAUUUAAAAAUUUUAUAUAUAAUUUAAAUUUAAAAUUAAUUAAUUAUUUUAUUGGGGUGAUAGAAAAAUUAAAAAAACUUUUUUUAAAAAUUUAACAUUAAUUUAUGAAAUUAUGAUCCAUAAUUUAUGAUUAAAAGAAUCAAUUACCUUAGGGAUAACAGCGUAAUUUUUUUUUUUAGUACAAAUAAGAAAAAGAGUUUGCGACCUCGAUGUUGGAUUAAGAUAAAAUUUAAAUGCAAAAGUUUAAAAUUUUUGAUCUGUUCGAUCAUUAAAAUCUUACAUGAUCUGAGUACAAACCGGUGUAAGCCAGGUUGGUUUCUAUCUUUAUAUUAAUACAAUAGUUUA
rnacentral:rRNA from 1 species